AGCGCCCCCUGAUUGGCCAGUUUGUACAUUGAAAUACUUUGUGCCAAAAAAGUUUUUUUUUCUUCAUCACUUCUGCUGGCUCCUGUCUGUGUAACCUGAUCCCCCCCCUGCACAGAACACGCAGCUAAACAGAGAGGAAAGGAAUCAGCUGACAGCAACAAGAAACGCUAUUUUCUUAUUCACCUGCUGCUUCCAAAGAAUAUGUCAUUAAGAAGCAGAAGAAAAGAGUAAAAAGAAGAAGGGAUGGAAUUGAGAUCAUAAUACAGAAGAAGACAUUUCCCGGGACACUCUCAUGGAAUAUGCAGGUAAGAAGCAGAAAAAAAGAGCAGGAUAAAG